ACCGACGCUCUCUCACGCACACACGCACGCUUCACUGCAUCGGUGCUCUCUCCGUUUCUGUACUGGCUGCCUCUCACAUCAAUGGCCCUCUUCUGUGAUUCCUCGUCGCGGCAACCGUCGCGGUUGAAACGACACUGCCGAUGGAAUCACCCGCGGCCGCAUGCGCAUGCACUCCAGCAGCAGACACUCUCAGAGCGGGCAAAGAGGAGGGGCGACAGGUCGUCGGCGGCGCUAUCCGUCUCCAUUCGUCGCCAAUUUCCAUCCGUACUCUUUCAAGUUCCGUACGCACACGAACCGCGCACGCGAGCUUUGCGGAACGGGUGCGUGGGUGCGCGCUAGUCCUGUGUAUGGGUGUCCGCUCGAGACACCACUACUGCUACCCCCUUUGGCAAGUACGAGACAGUGGGACGAGAGCGAAGAGUGACUGCGCUCGCGCCGCCCUGCGAGAGUCCGUGGCCCCGAAUUCGUCGAAACGCGUUCAUCUGAGAGAGACUGAGUGUUGACGAAGCCGCGCGCGGGCACUUGACCCCCUCCCUCAUUUGGUGUUGGUUGUCUGUUAGCCUUCGCUGUAUCGAGAAGAGUCUCUCUGUUGGUCGUCUGCCAAGUGCUCUUCGUUGGAGCACUGCCGCGCUCUCUCUCUCUCUCUCUUUCUCUGUUUUUCUUUGUGCUGCCCUGAUCGAAUCCCUGAG
rnacentral:misc_RNA from 1 species